rnacentral:rRNA from 1 species
AGAGUUUGAUCCUGGCUCAGAACGAACGCUGGCGGCACGUUUUAAGCAUGCAAGUCGAACGGCAGCAGGGGCAACCCUGUGAGAGUGGCGAACGGGUGAGUAACACGUAGGUGAUCUGCCUUGAGGAUGGGGAUAGCUUGUGGAAACACAGGGUAAUACCGAAUGAGCUGACUGUCACUUUGGUGAUGUUAGUAAAGGUG